rnacentral:rRNA from 1 species
GAUGAACGCUGGCGGCGUGCCUAAUACAUGCAAGUCGAGCGAACAGACGAGGAGCUUGCUCCUCUGACGUUAGCGGAGGACGGGUGAGUAACACGUGGAUAACCUACCUAUCAGACUGGGAUAACUUCGGGAAACCGGAGCUAAUACCGGAUAAUAUAUUGAACCGCAUGGUUCAAUAGUGAAAGACGGUUUUGCUGUCUCUUAUAGAUGGAUCCGCGCCGCAUUAGCUAGUUGGUAAGGUAACGGCUUACCAAGGCAACGAUGCGUAGCCGACCUGAGAGAGUGAUCGGCCACACUAGAGCUGAGACGCGGUCCAGACUCCUACGAGAGGCAGCAGUAGCGAAUCUGCCGCAGUGGGCGAAAGCCUUGCAGAGCGGCGCCACGUGAGUGAUAAAGGUCUUCGGAUCGUAAAGCUCGGUUAUGAGUGGAGAACAAAUGUGUAAGUAACUAUGCACGUCGUGACGGUACCGGAUCAGAAAGCCACGGCUAACUACGUG